GACGAACGCUGGCGGCGUGCUUAACACAUGCCAGUCGAGCGGAAAGGCCACUUCGGUGGUACUCGAGCGGCGAACGGGUGAGUAACACGUGAGUAAUCUGCCCCUCACUUUGGGAUAGCCACCGGAAACGGUGAUUAAUACCGGAUAUGACCAUAUGUCGCAUGGCGUGUGGUGGAAAGUUUUUCGGUGAGGGAUGUGCUCGCGGCCUAUCAGCUUGAUGGUGAGGUUAUGGCUCACCAUGGCUUCGACGGGUAGCCGGCCUGAGAGGGUGACCGGACACACUGGGACUGAGACACGGCCCAGACUCCUACGGGAGGCAGCAGUGGGGAAUAUUGGACAAUGGGCGGAAGCCUGAUCCAGCAACGCCGCGUGAGGGAUGACGGCCUUCGGGUUGUAAACCUCUUUCAGUACCGACGAAGCGCAAGUGACGGUAGGUACAGAAGAAGCACCGGCCAACUACGUG
rnacentral:rRNA from 1 species